UUAGUUGAGUUUUUUGCAAGGUGCACAUAUGUAGUAUCUGCUGUACUAAACAUCUGUGUUUUGACUGUAGGAUUGUGACAAAACAUCACAUAAGACAUUUCAUGUGUAUCCUUCCCAGCAGGUUCUUUUAUUUCAAAUACACACCUAUGCGUAUUAAAAAUGAUCAUUUAUGAGCUUCUCCUAUAAAAUAAGUUAAUGGGUAGUACUGAUCCAUACAAAGAACCAAAUCUUUGGGUUGGAGAAUGUGGAGGAGCUUGUUACUUCUCUUAAGCACCUCUGCACUGAGAGCAAGCUGGAGGCUGCCUGCUGCUGAAGGCCUUCACAUGGUGGCCAUUUUAACCCCUUCAGGAAGAGUUCAUAGUGCUGACUGGCAUUAGGGCAGCCUGGCAAUGUCUAGACACCACGAUGGUUACGUUUCCUUCACGCGGCUGUUGGUUGUCCUCUGACCUCAGGCAAGUCUCUUGGCCUUCUGCUGCUUCAUCAGUUGCAUCCUUCAAGUGUCAAGUCUUAAUACGCUGCUGUGAGAUAGGUCUGUCAAGCCUGGAAUCUGUUGAGACUCUUACAUUGGCACCUAUGAUCUGGAGUGAGAGUUGAGACAGACAUGGCCACAACCAACAGCCAAAAAAAAGCCAUCAUGAGCCUGGGCCUUGUGCAGCUGACCCUGCUUGAACUCUGACUGACUCUCCGAAAUUCACCCAGACCGCAUUGGCUGCCAGUGGGAAGCAUGAGGCCAGCCCGCCUGAAGGACUAAUGACUUAGCAUGUGCAUGUGGUUGCCUACUGACAUGCUAGUUAUAAGGUGGUAGCAGCACCAAAAGCUUUUUUGUUGACUUGACUUCUUCAUCCACAAGGAAUGAUGAUGGCACAUAGGCAACGAAAAGCACCCAAAUCUUUUACUGAAAUGACCAAGGACUCAAGAACAGUGUGGUGCCAUCUCACGUUUACCUUGAGAUUUGCUAUACGUCCCCAGUCUUCCUACCUCCUUUACCACCUCACCAGCAUCCAAGCUGCCUGCUCCACUGAAGGAGUGGGUCAUUUGUGGGCAGCACUGGGCACCAGAACUGUUUUCCUUGUGAUGUUUUUUGUAUUAACUCUUUGGAGCCACUGCAUUCAACAGAGCUGGCAAACAGUGGGGUUUUGCUUUUUGGACCUGGAACAGCUACCUGAAGUGCAGAGCCUGGACCAGACACCUCCCAGAUGUGCUGCCAGAUAGGACAAGAAGCACUGAAUUGUGCAGGAGGCAAUGGAUGUGAGCUGGCAUGCAGGAAAUUCAGAUUAGAUAUUAGCCAAGAUUUUUUUUCAUGAGAAAGGCAGUGAAAAGACGGGAGCAGGACCCCACAGAGGCUGCAGUCUCUACCAUUGGCGAUGCUCAAGCCCGUUUAGACAAGGCUCUGCACAGCCGGAUUUAAUUGGCACUGCUCCACGCAGGGCUUGCCCUACAUGACCCUGAGCUCCCUCCCAUUCCAAAUUACUCUGCGAGUCUGUGAUCAGCACGGAGAACAAGGGGGACAGGAAUGCAGCGUUGUCAAUUUGACCAGCUCUCCACAUUCACCUCAUGCCGGAGCCAGCUGAGACCAGGAGGGAUCCUCAGACGUCUUGCGCCGGCAGCCAGGUGAGCAAGUAGAUGGCUGGAGAGGACCGGCACAACUGUACCUAGCUGUGAGUAAAGAAGGCUGAAGUAAGAUCCUGGUGUUUGUUUGAACUACAGCAAGAUAUCCAGUCGUUCAAGAAUGGACCAACCAUCUUAUUUGGGUACCUGCUGCAUUGUCAUCUGUGGAUGUGUCUCCUUUCCUCCUCACCAUGGGUGGUCCAGUGGCACAGGAUGGUUGGGGCAGCUGACAAAGAAUUGAGAAACUACUGAGGAAGUUGAAAAGAGACACUCACAGCCUACAGAAAGCUGUGCAGAACAGGGGAAUGCAAUGUGUGGAGGCCAGCACGGCCUGCCAUCGUUUUGUACACAGACAGCCCUGCCUGCAGCAGAUGUGCUUGGCAAACCGGCAAAGCUGAGAGCACCAGUGAGAGCAAAUUGGAUGGCUGUGAGGAAAAAUACAUUUUGCUGUGGCUGCACCGCUAUGAAAAUAGCCUAACGUGCCUAUGGGACUGCCUGUGAGUGUCUAACUAACACAGCAGGCCAAAGCGAAAGGUGUCAAUUUGCUGUGGCACAAGGUAUGCAUGCAGCAACUGGCGGCAAAGAUGUAUGUGAGUGUGAGAGGCUGAGUCCAUCCCUGCAUCUACAGCAAGGUUCAGGAGGAAACAGUUCAACACUGAGUAAGCAGUUCAGAUGGCCUAUUUGUGUGCCUUUCCCAGCACACAAAAGGGUUUGUGAUGGGGGGCUGUCGGUACCGCUGGUGGGGUAACAAAUACCCCAGAGGUGCCAUGGCCAAAGCACCUGAGGUGGGCUCCAAUGCCACGUCCACACCAGCUCAUGCAGCUGGGCAAGGAGCAGCCUGCUGGGCAAGAAUAAGCACCUUCAGAGCUGGUCAGCUGCUCCUGGCGUUGUUCAGAGCAAGUUUGGAGCUUCAGCAACCAAAUUCUGCCUCAAAUUCCCUGCCCAUGUCCUCUGUGAUGUGGCUGGGGCAGCAUGGACCCAGCCAGAGAGCAAGCCUCUUCACGAUACCUGGACACCCUUCUGCUUGCCAUGUGGUAAUGGCACACAAGUGGACUUGAAGCACUUUAGGACAACUCCAACGAGGAGAAAUCCCCACCAGAGGACUAGCUGGUAACCCUGCUUCUGCUGAAACACACAGCGAAGGGCCUGCCACAGCUCCAUCCCACCAGUGCUACUCUGCCUACCUCUCCUGUGAGUCCUGAUACGCAUUUCCUCCUGUUCUCAGAUGCAGAAGGUUCGGGAGAGUUUUCUCCAAGGCCACAGCUAUCAUCGGUCCUGUAAAUGAUUGCAGUGGCACCAGCUCCUGUCCUUGACUGUGCUUCUUUGUCAAGCGAGGCAGCGAUAGCAAUCACUCCGGUGUUUAGCAAACCCGCAGAUCACUAUUGCCAAUCUUUGUAUAAACAAGAACUAAUUAAUCUUCACCACAUCUCUCUAAAGAAGGAUGCCAGCAGAAACUGAGACUGCUCUUUGAUUCAGUGAUAAUGAGUGAACAUUGCACCAACGACAUUUACAUUUUGCCAGUGGUAUGAAAAAACACAAGACUAUUCUUCUGAGUUCAGAUUUAGGCCCCCAAACGCACGCUGAUUUCCUGAAGUUGGAGCGCUCUGAGGCUGCUAUUGAUGUGAACGAACAUCUUGGCAAUUUAGCAAAAGAUGACAUCAGACAUGAAAGAGAGAGCACCGCACAGAGAUGACGUGAAGUUUGCAUAAUUAAUGCUGCAUCAAAUCUCUUGCUAUGGGAAACGAGGAAAAGACACACGAGGUGUGGGCAUGGGCUACCCUCCUUGCUCCUUCUCUCGAAGCCAGCUUGCCCAGGUCUGCCCAAAAUCUUCCACACCACAGCCACCGAGCAUGAGGACAACCGCUGGCAGGAGUGAGCCUGCACCAGGCCCCACAGCAAUAUCACUUUCAUCAUCUGUGGAGUCGGUACAGCUAGAAAGAAAGCAAUCCUCCUUUGUCUUGGACUUUCAGCUGGACCAAUGCCUUCUGCUUGAGAAGAGCCGUGCUGCUCCCCCAGAGGCCAGGCUGCACCGCCGUUACGCCUUGCUGCCUCACCUCCCUGCAUGAGAGAAAGCCCCAGCGACACCGUGCCCCGAGUGCCGAGACAGCAGGUAAUGAUUCGCGGAUGUGCAAUGAAAUUUCAGAAAUGCGCACUGACUUUUUAGAGAUAUGCCAACCGGCAAAUAAAAAUAAAAUGAA